AUUGAACGCUGGCGGCAUGCUUUACACAUGCAAGUCGAACGGCAGCGCGGUCUUCGCUUUGGCUGCGAGUGGGGCAAGGGCGAGCGAUACAUGGGAACAUCCUCAUCUGCGGUGUAUUGUUAGGUGACGGAAGGAUUCUUACUCCAUUAGAGCAGAGGGUGUACGCGGGGGAGCUUCGGACCUUGCGCCCUUGCGGGGGUGGAUGGGCGAAGAGCUAGUUGGUGGGUUAAAGGCCUACCAAGGCGACGAUCUGUAGCUGGUCUGAGAGGAGGAGCGGCCACAUUGGAACUGAGACACGGCCCAGACUCCUACGGGAGGCAGCAGUGGGGAAUUUUGGACAAUGGGCGAAAGCCUGAUCCAGCAAUGCCGCGUGUGUGAUGAAGGCCUUCGGGUUGUAAAGCACUUUUGGCGGGAACGAAAAGCACUAGGCUAAUACCACGCUUCGAUGACGGUACCCGCAGAAUAAGCACCGGCUAACUACGUG
rnacentral:rRNA from 1 species